GUUUAAUUAAUUACUGUCUUGAUUGCAGGAGAUUAUGGAACUUGGUGGCGUUCCAGACAACGUACAACGAGAAGGAACAGAAAUUCAAUGAAAGAGAAGCGUAAGGAGUAGGAUAAGGAUGCUGAGGCGAUCAGUAACUUAACACUGGCAAGGCGCAGGCAUUUCCCGCGUUAUCAGCGCUCUGUACAAGGAAACGCCGCGGACCUGUACGGACCUGUACGGUUGGCCGUAUGCCAUGGCGGUGAAUACCGGCCGAUGUUACAAUGUGUUCGAGAGAGAAAUGAAGUGAAAAGCGGAUAGCAGACGGGGGUGAGAGGAAAACUCGAGGGAAUGGAACAAAAAAAGAGCCGGAGUACAUACUAGCCCGAGUAGCGAGCCGCGGAUUAAUGACUAAAUGAGUCAAGUUGCGUCAUAGUACGCGCCAAUAAUAAAUGGGUCGCCAUGUUGGUUCUUCUGGGUGCUGCGUGUAGCAUAAGAGGAUGACCCUUCUAAGAUCGUUGACGAUUAAAUAAUUUGUGAUUCUCUUAAGAGAGGGGGAAUCAGUGCCGGCAAAGGAUGCUCGACGGGUGCAAACGGUCGAUUAAAAGAAAAAUCAGGAUCGCGUGCGUGCGCGGUGGCGAUGAAUAAUUGGAUAUUUGGUCCGGGGGCUGUCGUGCGGGCCGAAUUCGUAGAAGAGGAGCGCGUCCUGCGCGAAAUACAGAGAGAGACGCGGUAACGAGGGAAGAAACGAACUCGAAUGAAAUGAAGUUGUUUGUUUCAAAUCACUUCCAGCAUUCCGGGUCUACAUUAAGAAAUGUGAUCAGCUUGAAUUGUUUUAUGCACGAUGUAUGCACAUUUUAAUCGAACUAUGAAUUCUACGAGAACGACGAGUAGCUGUGACGUCGAACGUCAGUAGAAAGACUAUAGGAGUCGAAAAACAAGACUGCUGAAAUUGCCGAAGGAAGGAGGAAAUUCUCAAGUAGCUACCGGAGCCUUGCAACAGAUGCAGGAAACUUCUACUUUGCAUAAUGAUCCGGAGCCCAGCAAUUCCAGCGGAAAGAUGACCUUUUACAUUCAUUAUAAACCGUGAUCGUCAUCUUCCUGUCAGCUUCUUGCAAAAUAAGGCGUUAACGUCCAGUCGCGAAAGUGUCGUUUUGAUUUUUUCGUUUUUUUUUUUUUUUUUGAAAAAUCCUCGCGACACGAAACUGUUCUCGAACGGUUGAUCGAGGAACGGUGUCUCGUAGGUGUCCAUCGCUACCGAUUGCUCUCGUCGAGAAGACGCCGACGACGCAGAAAUCGAUCGGCUGGAGGGGGGAGGGCAGGCCAGAGCGGGGUGUUCAUAGGAAAGAAAAAGGGAGAAAUUGAUCGGCCACGGUGUGCGUGGCCGGCUCGUUACAAAAUACUCGAUACUCACGGGAGGUCGGCUUUCGUUCGAAACGGCUCUAUCUUCAUGCGAAACCAGAGAGCCGGGUGGCUACGCGACCAUAAAUGGGUGAUGUACGAUGUAACGAUCUCUUCACUCUCUCGUCCCGACAUCACAAUUAGCCAUCUACGUAGACACGGCUACGAACUAACAAACCGAACGAACAAACUGUCGCCGCUCGGUCCGGCUGCCGUUCACCGAGGAAUUGCGUUCGUUCAAUUAACGACAGACUCGAUUAACCGUACCCACCGCUCCCCCCCCCUCUCUCUCUCUCUCUCUCUCUCCGUUCUCUUCCCAUGGCGAACAGGCUGACCAGCACGAAUAUAAAUUAGCGACUUCAAUCGAUUGUUUGCCCCGGGGCCCGGAGUGAUCGGGGAAGUGUCCCGGCCCGCGGAUCCGGAAAACCCUGCGGAACGAGGAUACCGUCGGUUCACGCACGUUUUUUUUCCAACGAUUUAGCGCUCGUAGAUCACAAGAUUUCUCGUUUGCAAACGGUACAAUGUGUCGAGCUGUUUUUUUGAGGGAUUAAGAAGUUGCGAAACCGUGCGUUCCCGAUUCCGGGAGAGCGCGCGGAUUCGAGAGAGCUCGCCGAGAGACUUUUAGUCCGCUGGACGCAUCAAUUUUUGAUCUCGAUCCGUUUUAACAUUGAACGCGUAGCCGUGCACUAGAAGUGAUUGAUGUACGCCGUUUGAGUGAAUUCGCAACGUACCUUUAUAACGUUGUUGAUUGUUAAAUAAAAUACCUGAAACGAAUCGUUUCACUGUGGUUCGGAGUUUAGUUCGCAGAUAGAUUUUGAACUUAUGCAUUACAAAUGUAUUAUUGUUUCUAGUAUUCAGAAUUGCGUGGUGUUCAAGCGUGAUUCUCAUGGUUCAAGGCGAAAGAAAAUUUUUCUAUAAUCUACAGUCUGUGAGAAAAAAUUUCUGCGUGUUGGGAAUUAAUGAUUUCAGUGCUGACUGAACUGAAAAGGUAUAAUGGAAGACCUGCUUUUUACUAAUAUGUUUACAUCGCAUUGCAUUUAUAUUAUAAAUCAUGAACACUCUAUUA